rnacentral:rRNA from 1 species
CCCUUAGAUGUUCUGGGCCGCACGCGUGCUACACUGAGUGGAUCAGCGGGUCAGGUUGCGCGAAAGUGUUUCCUAAUCUUUAAAUCCGCUCGUGAUGGGGAUUGACGGUUGCAAUUUUCCGUCAUGAACGAGGAAUACCUUGUAAGCGCGGGUCAUCAUCCCGCGCUGAAUACGUCCCUGCCCUUUGUACACACCGCCCGUCGCUCCUACCGAUUGAGUGGUUCGGUGAGGCUUUGGGAUCUGGGCGGAAAGAGCGUUUCGCUGUUUCUGCCCGGAAAACUCAGUCGAACCUUAUCAUUUAGAGGAAGGAGAAGUCGUAACA